ensembl:lincRNA
CUGGAGGCUGAGUAGUCCCAGGACCUAGCAUGUGCAAGCUGGAGAACCAGGAAAGCUGGGGCUGUAAUUCAGUCCCAGUCUAAAGGCCUGAGAAUCUGGGAAGCUGACAGUGUGGAGCAGGGAGGAUGAGGCUUUGCAGGCAGAUGGGGUCCCCUUCUCUCUGGUCCUUGGUCUCCACUUCUGUAAAGUGGUGAAUAUCAAACCUGACUUCCAAAGUUGCUGGGGAGACUCCAGAAAAUGUGUGUUAGGUACCUUGUGCAGUUCCUGGCAUCUAUCAGCGACUGAAUGACAGAUGAUCAUGAUGCUUCCUAUGGAAGGUACCUAGAGCCAGAGAAGAUGAAAUGAGAUGUCCCAACCCAAGCAGUCAGGGAUGAUGCAAAAAGGGGCAAACUGCUGCUUCCUCUGCCUUUGAUUCUGCUCAGGCCCUUCAGGGAUUGAAUGAUGCCCAACCACUUGGGGAGGGCAUCUCCUUUACUGAGUUCACUGGUUCAAAUGCCAAUCUCACCUGGAAACACCCUCACAGGCACACUCAGAAGGAAAUUUAAUCUUGGCACCCCAUGGCCAGUCAAGGUGACCCAGAGAAUUGACCAUCAUAGUUACUUUUAAGGCAAUUCUGACAUGAACUCAAUUCCAUCUUAUGGUUUUGUUCCAUGAACAAAACCCAGAGAGGUAAAUGUGGUUUGCAGGUGGUGGGAAAUCAAUGUCUCAGGUGCUCUUCACGCUGACUUGUGUAAUCCUUCCCGGGAGAACUGAAGACUCCCAGCAGGGAGCUAACAGGGUUUCUUCUCUUCUUAUCUCUGCUCUAGCCACUAUCAGUGUGCCGGGUCCCUCUGAGAGACAAAUGGGAAACUCAAAAGGGACCACGAAGCUUCAGGCCAGCCCUGUCCCGAAGUCUUGUGUGCUUCAUGUCGAGUGGUCUGCAGUGGACUGUGUCUGCUUGAAGCGAUGCUCCGGAGGGCUUAUUGUUGUGUGGGGUAAAGCAUGAGAUCACUGAAAAAUGAGAGAAAUCGAGCAUACGAAAUGUGAAGCAUAUCUGUUGACACCGUGCGCUCCCUUUGCUUGCACUGGAUGGUGCAUGGUUUCCAUGCGCAGUGCCUGAGGUGUGGGGCAGGCGAGGCCCAUGCAGCCUGGCUCCUUUCCAGAAGGUUGCUGUUCAUUACAGCUCGAGUGUGCUGGGUUCUGCAGAUAUUAUCUAUUUUAAAUUAACGCUCCGUAAAAGGAUUUAAAGUUUUCUGAAAAGAAACCAAUGAAUGAAGCUAAUAGUAAUAAUGCAAACACAAGCAAGCUGCCAAGUAAGCCAUUUUUCUAUUACGGAGCUCUUCAUCAGUCAUAUUAUUAAAGAAAAAACAACAAUACUAGUAAUAAUGAUCACCUAUUCAAGACCAAGAGUUUGAUCCUCCAAAAUUCAAACAAGGAAAAAUCUCUCCCAAUCUCUCCUUUCCUCCAUCCCUUUUCUUUACUUCUCAUCCCAUAUAUAAUAUUAUAUAAUGCAUACAUAAUAAAAGACAUUCACUAUUAUUAGCAAUGAUUCCUUAUCUGUAUAUUGUGCCUUAAGAUAUAUUAGCAAAUGGUAUGCAUAUUUAGAAGACUUAUUUUUAAAAAUAAUAUAUAUGUUGGGGUAAAGGGUCAACCCUUUAUUCAUUGACAAGUGAGGUUAUCAAAGAAGUCUGGACUCAUUUUUGCUCUUCCAAGUCUAAAUAUAAAUUUUGGUUUAUAAAGGAUUUCAUAUGGUUCCCAACAGCACAUUGUAAAAAUUCAACUCUCUGCCUUACUAGUUAUUGAAGUCAUCUUACAGAUGGCCACAAUAAGUCCCUUCUUAUUUAUUUUUGCCAAUAUAAUUUGUAGGGUAGAUGUAUGUAGUUUGCUUGAUUCUGACCGGAAAUCUGUUCUGUUUCCUGCUUGACUGAAAUUUGGGGCAAUGGAGGCAGCAGAAAUAUGCAAAUAUAAACCUGAGUUACACAAUGGGCUUUGGUUCAGUGGAUGAAUAUUAUUUAAUUUUCCAAUGUCAUUGUAAGAAAUUGAGAGAUGAACUUGAACUUUUAAAACUUUGUGGACAAAAUAUCAUCAAUAUUAAGGGAACAAGUUUCUUAAACUUUAGAAGGAAAUCAAUUCUAAUGUGUAGUUAACCAGAUUGUUCAUUGUUGGGUUUAUCAUUAACUUGGUCUUUACCUCAUUAACUUCCCUCUGUCUUAUUAUUUAUUAUGCUGCGUCUAUUUUCUCUGUAAUCAAGUGUAACUGUAGCAUUGGGGAGAGCAUUAGAUUUUCUAUAGAUUUGGGUGUUUCAUGUGCAGCAGACCACGUGCUAUUUUUGCCUGAGCAGCUCCUGUUCACCUUUGUUCUGGAAACAGAACUCUCCUUUAAUUUUGGAAACUUCCCCUCCUAUUACUGAUAGGGCUGUCAAUCGCAUGUCCCCCAAGCCUCCAUCAAUGUGAUGGUCAGGGACUUGUGUGGGCCACAGACUCAAACCUGAACUUCUGCCGAAGAUAUCAAGAAGGAGAAGCCCUCUAUUUACUGAAGUCUCUGACUGUAAUAACUGAGUGAAUUGAUAUCUUCCAGCAGCCACUGUAGCACCACAAAAGGAAGGCUUGUCCAGGAAUUAAACCAACACAAGGAAAGCCCAGACAAAGAGGGAAGGAUGGGCUCAUGAUGUUUGAACCUCUGAUCUGUCUAUGCCUUGAGCCAGCCACACUGCAGGAUGCUGUUGCUCCAGCAAUUAAAUGUCUUAUUUUUGUUUAGGCUAGUUUGUGUCAGUGUGUGUCACUUAUUACUAAAAUGUUCCUGAGUUAGACAACACUGUGGAGGGAAAAUCAUAUGAACUUAAUGAUUUGACCUAAAAAAUGGCAAUUUCUUAGGAUUCAAACCAAUAUAAUAAAAAAUGCAGGUGGUCAGAUGACUCAAGAACCAUUGCUUUGUGUUCUUGGCCUCUUUGAGCUUCAGUUUCCUCAUAUUGAAAGGAGAGAGAUAACUGUCUACCCACGCAUCGGUUCACACACAGAAACGGGAAAUGCAGGAUCAGGUAAAGCAUAGAAAAACCUUUGUAGACUAUCUGGCUCAAUAAAAUGUUACCUAUUGUUACACAUUGGAAGAUUUGAUUCCUUGAGAUAUAUUACAGUGUAUAGAGUGAGCUAACUGGUCAUGCUUAGGAAAAAUUUUGGAAUUGGUGCACAUGUGAGGCUGUGAGGACGUCAAAAUUUGACUGCAGAUGUUAUAAAGUCCUGUGUUUUGGCAGAUAAUCAUCUCCCCAUUUAGAAUUCACAGGACUCAUCUGGCAUCCGGUGGAGUUGGUAGGAGCUGAUUAAUGCCUGGCUUCUAGUGGAGAUGAUGAGAACUGGUCAAUGUAAGUUACGUUAGGAUGGCAUUGUGGACGUCAGAAACCCAAAAGAGGACAGAAACCCAAGCCUAAACAAAAAUAGGACAUUUAAUUGCUGGAGCAAC